CAGAGCCGCCACUGCAAGUCGCAAUGGAAUGCUUCUCAUAUUUGCAAUGUUAGUUAAACCGCAUGACCGUUGGCUCACUUACAUGACUUUACAGAACUGAACUGGCAAAUGCCUUCAAGUGCAAUCACAACACACUCGAGUCUAUAGUUGUUGUUGUUUUCGUUGUUGUUCUUGUAGCUGUGGCACAAACGCAGGUGGCAGGAGCUGGCGUGUACCUGCUGCUGGUGUGUCCUUAAAACGACUGCGGCAACACCUGUCGGCUGCCGCAUGACGCUCGCUGCCAACCAAAGCAAAACUCUGAAGCUUUUUCCGCAAAGCUUUUUUCGCCAGUUCUGUGCAUUUUUAUGAAUUAAAUUUCGG